rnacentral:tRNA from 1 species
CUUAAAUUAGUUAAAGUAUAUUAUUUACACUAGUAUUAUAAUUGUGCAAUUCAAUUUAAUUUGA